rnacentral:rRNA from 1 species
GACGGAGGAUGCAAGUGUUAUCCGGAAUCACUGGGCGUAAAGCGUCUGUAGGUGGUUCGAAAAGUCCACUGUUAAAAAUUGAGGCUUAAACCUCAAAGAUGCCGUGGAAACUUUCAAACUAGAGUAUGGUAGGGGUAGAGGGAAUUUCCAGUGGAGCGGUGAAAUGCGUAGAUAUUGGAAAGACCACCGAUGGCGAAGGCACUCUACUGGGCCAUUACUGACACUGAGAGACGAAAGCUAGGGGAGCAAAUGGG